UUUCAGGGUCAGAAACAGAACCACGCAUCUGCUUACCCAAUCCAGUAUCUCCACCAGCAGGUACUCUAUAAGAAUCAGAUAAGCUCUUUGCCUUCCCUAAACAAUCUGCCUCUUCAGGUGAACAAAAGUGCCCAAAACCAGCCAUUCCACUUGCAUUUAGAUUAUGCUGAAUGCUGAUCCAUCUUUAGUCUAAUAUAACUUUAAGGCGGAUAACUGUAGCC
rnacentral:misc_RNA from 1 species